rnacentral:rRNA from 1 species
CGGCCGCGGUACCCUAACCGUGCGAAGGUAGCAUAAUCACUUGUUCUUUAAAUGAGGACUCGUAUCAACGGCAUCACGAGGAUCCUACUGUCUCCCCCCUCUAAUCGGUGAAACUGAUCUCUCCGUGAAGAAGCGGAGAUGUACAUAUAAGACGAGAAGACCCCAUGGAGCUUUAAACCCAACAACACCCGCCCCUCUCCAAAUCCUAUUAUUUUCCCGGUGAUUGUUUGUCUGGUUUUAGGUUGGGGUGACCGCGGAGUAUAAGAUAUCCUCCAUGAAAAAAAGCUAACUGCCCUUAUUAGAGAAAGACACUUCCAAAAAAUAAUAAAUUAAUUUUAAAUGAUCCGACAUUCGAUCAACGAACCAAGUUACCCUGGGGAUAACAGCGCAAUCCGUCCCGAGAGCCCCUAUCGACAGGCGGGUUUACGACCUCGAUGUUGGAUCAGGGUAUCCUAGUGGUGCAGCAGCUACUAAAGGUUCGUUUGUUCAACGAUUAAAACCCUA